rnacentral:sRNA from 1 species
UUCAUGUGAGGUAGCCAUCCAGCUGGCUUGCGGAAGGUGGGUGGUUAAUUCUACCCAGGUACAUGGGCCCUUAGGGUCUUUCUCCACAAUCAAAGCUGGAAAGUCGCUACAUGACCUGUAUUGUGUUGGUGCGACGUUAAACCCAAUUUAAAAAAUGCCAUUAUGGUAUAAUUAUACAUGUAUCUACUCGGUUUCGUCUAGUUGGAAAUGGGUUAUUCGAAACCCGACGAAUAUUUUGUAAUUUAACAUGUAUUCAAGUGGCAGAAUAUCACGGUACUCUUAGAUGUUUUCGAAAAACAUAAAUCGUAUUUGCAUCGGGGUAGGUUAAAUGAAAACAUCUAAGAGUACCGU